rnacentral:rRNA from 1 species
CCCUUAGAUGUUCUGGGCCGCACGCGCGCUACACUGACGCAUUCAACGAGUCUAAAACCUGGUCUGAUAGGGCUGGGUAAUCUUUUGAAUGUGCGUCGUGAUUGGGAUAAAUGAUUGUAAUUCUUCAUUUUCAACGAGGAAUGCCUAGUAAACGCAAGUCAUCAGCUUGCAUUGAUUACGUCCCUGCCCUUUGUACACACCGCCCGUCGCUCCUACCGAUCGAAGAGUUAGGUGAAUUGUUUUGAUCGAUAAGAUUUGACUAUGGUCAACUCUCGUUGUGAAAUUCUGUGAAUCUGACUGUUUAGAGGAAGGAAAAGUCGUAACA